rnacentral:lncRNA from 1 species
AUGGCCAGCGAGGAAGGAAGGUGGGGAAGCAGCAGGCUGGCACGAGUGUCCUGCACUUUGGUUCCUCCAGCCCUGCUUGUCUGCGCUCCUCAUGGCCCAGGUCAGCAGCAGCCGGAGCCCCCAGACUGCUGGCCGCUGCCACCGCCGCCGCUGCUGCCACAGCAGCCACUGCCGCUGCUGCUGCCGCCACCACAGCUGCUGCCGCCGCCGCUGCUAAUGCUACAGCAGCUACUGCUACAGCAGCUACUGCCACCACCACUGCUGCAGCAACCAGAGCUCUGGUGUCGGCGACGAAGGGACCGGCGGGGUCGGUGGUGGCUCAGGCAGCAGCCGCAGCAGGAGGACACCGGAGGGCAUUUGGGGGGACAUUUUGGGGAUUGGCACUUAGGAGGGGGCUGGCACUGCUUCUGGCUCUGCUGGCUGGACAUCUUCGAGGGGAAGUCCGUGAACCUAAGGAGAAAUGGAAGAGAUGGAAGAGAUGGAAAGACGGCCGCACAGCUAUCAAGCCACUCUGUCCUUCCUGGAGAUGCUCACUCUGACACAAGGUUCUUUGUAAUCUAUAAGCUGAAUGUGGAAACGAAUAUGCAGUAAAAUCUAGUGCAGUAAAAGCUCCUUCCCUCGCAAUUCUUUGCUGCCCCCACUGAAAAACACUGACCAUCUUCCCACAUGAGCUCCAGAAUCAGCCCCGUUAUAAAGCUUCCUAAGCACUUGGUAACACGGCUGGUUGUGUGUUUUGAAACUUUCCUGGGAUGGAUCAGUAGAUGGAUCAGGAAAAGCUCUUGCCGACCCCGACUCUGGCGGCACAAGGGCCCAUGACUUGUCGGCUUGUUCCUUCUCUUCUACCUUUACCCCCUGGUUCUAUUGGUGUCCGUUUCCAGGCUGGGACACAGUCCCACAGCCAGCUCCCGGCCGGAUGCUCAGAAGUCAGGAAAGGCUGGCAUUGACAAAGUUACACAAAGCCAGCCCAGGCCUGGUUCAACCGCAGUUUGGAGAACCUCUGCCAGCAGCUCCCUUCUCCCCCGGGAACUCCUUCCUCCUCCCUGCCUUCCUCUGCCCUCUCCCCACCCAGCGCUGCCCACAGCCUGACACUCACCUGAUCAGUGGAGGAAGUGGAAGCUGUCAGUGGAAGGCUGAGGACUGAGGAGCAGGGCGCUGGAGCCCUUUUAUCCUGGGCCUGAUGAGCCCCUGGGAGUGAGGCACGGCCUGUGUAUGCAGACCAGUCACUUUCACAACCCAGAUGAGGGCGGGUCCUCACACUCCCAGCCCUGGGGCCCCCGGGGACCUCUGGGGAGAGAGGCUAAGAGGAAUCUGGAAGCUAGAGACUGCCCAGGUAUCUGCUCCACAGACCUGAUGCAGUCCAGCCAUUCCACAUUCAUGCAUUCACUCAUUCAUUAAUUCAAUAAAUAUGUACUGUCUUUCCUGGGCCCA